UACGAAGGGGGCUAGCGUUGCUCGGAAUGACUGGGCGUAAAGGGCGCGUAGGCGGUUUGCACAGUCAGAUGUGAAAUUCCUGGGCUCAACCUGGGGGCUGCAUUUGAUACGUGCGGACUAGAGUGGGGAAGAGGGUCGUGGAAUUCCCAGUGUAGAGGUGAAAUUCGUAGAUAUCAGGAAGAACACCCGUGGCGAAAGCGGCUCUCUGGAACGGUACUGACGCUGAGACGGCGAAAGCGUGGGGAGCGAACAGG
rnacentral:rRNA from 1 species